GAUGAACGCUGGCGGCGUGCCUAAUACAUGCAAGUCGAGCGAACAGACGAGGAGCUUGCUCCUCUGACGUUAGCGGCGGACGGGUGAGUAACACGUGGAUAACCUACCUAUAAGACUGGGAUAACUUCGGGAAACCGGAGCUAAUACCGGAUAAUAUAUUGAACCGCAUGGUUCAAUAGUGAAAGACGGUUUUGCUGUCACUUAUAGAUGGAUCCGCGCCGCAUUAGCUAGUUGGUAAGUUAACGGCUUACCAAGGCAACGAUGCGUAGCCGAACUGAGAGGGUGAUCGGCCACACUGGAACUGAGACACGGUCCAGACUCCUACGGGAGGCAGCAGUAGGGAAUCUUCCGCAAAGGGCGAAAGCCUGACGGAGCAACGCCGAGUGAGUGAUGACGGUCUUCGGAUCGUAAAACUCUGUUAUUAGGGAAGAACAAAUGUGUAAGUAACUAUGCACGUCUUGACGGUAACUAAUCAGAAAGCCCCGGCUAACUACGUG
rnacentral:rRNA from 1 species